ACUCCUACGGGAGGCAGCAGUGGGGAAUAUUGCACAAUGGGGGAAACCCUGAUGCAGCCAUGCCGCGUGUGUGAAGAAGGCCUUCGGGUUGUAAAGCACUUUCAGUAGGGAGGAAGGUAGUGUAGUUAACACCUGCAUUAUUUGACGUUACCUACAGAAGAAGCACCGGCUAACUCCGUGCCAGCAGCCGCGGUAAUACGGAGGGUGCGAGCGUUAAUCGGAAUUACUGGGCGUAAAGCGCAUGCAGGCGGCCUGUUAAGUCAGAUGUGAAAGCCCGGGGCUUAACCUCGGAAUUGCAUUUGAAACUGGCAGGCUAGAGUCUUGUAGAGGGGUUAGAAUUUCAGGUGUAGCGGUGAAAUGCGUAGAGAUCUGAAGGAAUACCAGUGGCGAAGGCGGCCCCUGGACAAAGACUGACGCUCAGAUGCGAAAGCGUGGGAGCAAACGAGGAUUAGAUACCCCUGGUAGACUGUCA
rnacentral:rRNA from 1 species